UAAUCUUCUACUAAAUUUAUAAGUAAACUAACUGUACAUAAGAUGGAGUUUAUCACAUAAUAAAAUCUUAAACUCUGAUUUUAAAUAAGUUUAAAUUCGAAUACGUGGCAAAUAAAUUACCUAUAUUAGCAGAACUCCACCAGUAAUUUCUAGAUAAAUCAAGAAUUCUUAUUUCUUUGAAUGGGGAAAAUAAGGAGACAUUAAGAAAAUAACCUCGGGAUCAAGAAGUUUUGAAAUACGUAAAUUGUUAAGAUCGAGCUCAACUACUCUGCUUGUAGUUGGAUCACACGUGACUCUCUCCUAGCUGCAGCAGUUAUUCUCUUUUCCAUGAAUCCAUCCAUGAAAGAAGCGUAGUGUCUUCUUCAACAUUCAUCAAUCGAAAACAUGUCUUAAUUUCCAAAAGACCCCUUCUCUCCUCCUCAAUACAACCAUGGAAUCCAUUGAUUUGUAAUAAAAUUGUAAAAGCCAACAAUAAGCAGUUCAUUGGCAGCGACCCCAUUAGUUUUCUUGAUGAUAACUUUUUAGAACUGCAUUAAUAAUAUCUGAACUUGUAGUCAUUGGCCAAGUCUUCUAGCCUCGUCAACACCCCUACCCCCACUCUAGAGUUGUACGAAGGGUCAUGUCGAACUAUCAAAGCUCAGAGUUUCUAGUGUGUCAGACCAACCCAAGUGAACC
rnacentral:lncRNA from 1 species